UUGAAUUCACAUUUGACGCCACGAAGGAAUCCAAGUGGAAGAAUGUGUAUUUCCAAAACUAGAAUCCUGAAAACCUCACCUUAAUCCACCGUCCUGCUUCUGGAUACAAAGCCAGAUUAGCACAAGACUCAUCUGGGUUUGGAAAAGCUACUAGGAAGAAAUUCUGGAAAAGCUGUAAUGUAGUGGAGAAGAAUGUUAAUAAAUGAUACCUGUGUGAACAGCCUCCUGACCACUGUUGGUUUCUGAGUUCCUAUCGGUCUUGGCUAUCGUCUCUGUCAGUCUUGGAGGAUGGAAGGAAAGUUCACAAACGCUGAUAUCAACUAAUUCUAGAGAAAGAAGGUAUGUAGAGAUAUUCUUGUGAGUUUUUGUUGUUGUUGUUGUUGAUGACAUAUAUCUAAAGAGCCUAAAACAUAUUCUAAGAU
rnacentral:lncRNA from 1 species